CUGGUUAGAGCACAACAUCAUCCUGUUUUUUGUCAAGCAGAUUAGUAGCACAAUCAUGUUGUGAUGAGAUGUUCUGUUGAUUAUUCACAUUCUAACAACAUCACAUCACGGCACGGCAGGAGUACGAUUUCCAGGGUUGACACAUCCAGGAAUCAUUGGCACUGCACCAUCAAAAGAACUCUUGAGAAUAUGGAAUGAAAGGGAAAGACAAUUAGAAGAAAAAGGUGUUGAGUCCCUAACACUAUGUGAGGUUGUGCAUCAGCGGCCAUUAGCAAGCCUACCAACAACUAAAGGAUGUCUACUAGGAAAUGUACACUAUUUUCUGAUACUGUAACAAAGUUUUUGAACUGUAUAAAUGUACUUACUGCAUACCCUCUUAUAGAUUGAAGAGAGGACAUCAGAAUGGGAAAGAAUUGCAAAGGAGGCUGCUAGGACAAUACCAGGAAGGGAAAAUGGAGGAAACUGUGACAUAAAAAACCUAAGCAGUGGCUCUAAAAUAUAUCUUCCAGUGUUUGUAGAAGGAGCUAAUCUAAGCACCGGUGACAUGCAUUUCUCACAGGGUGAUGGCGAGAUCUCAUUCUGUGGAGCCAUAGAGAUGAGUGGAUUUCUAGAACUCAAGUAUGUACAUAAGUUCCUAAUUGCACUGUAAAUAGACUCUAUACGGUUUUCUUAGAUGUCCCUGUUUUUGUCUAGUGUUACUAUGAAAUUCUGACCAGAUACCAUUAUGUAACUCAUUAAUAGGUGUGAAAUCAUUAGAAACGGGAUGCAGGAGUACCUUACACCAAUGGGACCAACCACUCUCCACGUAAACCCGAUCUUUGAGAUAGGGCCAGUGGAACCAAGAUUCUCAGAGUGGCUUGUCUUCGAGGGUAUCAGUGUCGAUGAGAGCGGAAGACAACAUUAC
rnacentral:lncRNA from 1 species